AGUCUUCAAGCAAAGUCAUCAGAAUUUUUAAAAAACAAGUUCAAACACAGUUUUUAAAAAAAAAACAAAUAAAACAAAACCUAUUCGUGAUUUUGGGAGGUUUUUUUUGGUAGUGGUUGAGGUUCGAAUUGUAGUCUCAUGUUGAGGUUUGAUUGGUAUGGCGGUUGCCUCGAUUUUUGCAGAAUCUUUUGCUAUGGCA
rnacentral:lncRNA from 1 species